ACGAACGCUGGCGGCGUGCCUAAUACAUGCAAGUCGAGCGGAAUGAUGAAGAAGCUUGCUUCUUCUGAUUUUAGCGGCGGACGGGUGAGUAACACGUGGGCAACCUACCUUGUAGAUUGGGAUAACUCCGGGAAACCGGGGCUAAUACCGAAUAAUCCAUUUUGCUUCAUGGCGAGAUGUUGAAAGACGGUUUCGGCUGUCACUACAAGAUGGGCCCGCGGCGCAUUAGCUAGUUGGUAGGGUAAUGGCCUACCAAGGCGACGAUGCGUAGCCGACCUGAGAGGGUGAUCGGCCACACUGGGACUGAGACACGGCCCAGACUCCUACGGGAGGCAGCAGUAGGGAAUCUUCCACAAUGGACGAAAGUCUGAUGGAGCAACGUCGCGUGAGUGAAGAAGGUUUUCGGAUCGUAAAACUCUGUUGUAAGGGAAGAACACGUACGAGAGUAACUGCUCGUACCUUGACGGUACCUUAUUAGAAAGCCACGGCUAACUACGUG
rnacentral:rRNA from 1 species